UAAAAAAAUAACAUGAAAAAGCUUAACACAUACAACUCACGCUUUAUUAUUGGUUUUGAUUUACAAAAAUACCACCAAAAUGUCUGCUAAUCCAUUCAGCAACACUAGAAGAUCCAUAGUUACUACGCAUGAGCAUACCUCGCUUCAACGUCGAGUCUUGCUUCAAAGAGCACUCAACCGUUACAACUGGCCAGUACGCACAACCUUUACAAUGGUAGAGAGGCAACUUGAGGAUCUCGACUUUGCGGAUGACAGCCCACAGUCCCACAAGCAACAACAUGCACAAAGCUCACUCGGCUCUCAGAAGCAGCAGCGAUGACUGGCCCAGAACCGGAUCCGAUGCCAUGUUGUUGUGGUCCUAUACUCCACUGGAGGUGAAUAGGAACACUUUUGUGUAAAAUCAUGCAAUGGGCUGAGCACCUUGUGUCCAUUAAAUCCUGCAACUUUUGUUCAGUUUCAGUUCAUCCUUUAUCUCUGUUGAGUUUCAAGCUACAUAGCAUUAAAAGUGAUUUAUGAUUAUAGAAAAAUAUAUUGAUUGAAAAUCAAAUUCAUCAUGAUAAAAGUAGAAUUUUUUAUUUUAAAAUCAUGUGGGAUUUUUCCUUAAAAUCCUUAUCAAUUGAACAGAGUAUGUGGAGCUGGCAAUCAUCAGAGUCUAAUUAAAAAAACAAAACAAAGCAAAAACAACUAGCACACUGUUAAACUCAAAUUGUAAUAAAACUGCUAUUGUCGACAGCAUCCAGAUCUUAAAAAUUAAAAAGACAAAAGAUACAGAUCAAAUCAAACAAAAUGGGAACUUUAAUCUAAAACAAAAAAU